rnacentral:rRNA from 1 species
GUGGGGAAUUUUGGACAAUGGGCGAAAGCCUGAUCCAGCCAUGCCGCGUGCAGGAUGAAGGCCUUCGGGUUGUAAACUGCUUUUGUACGGAACGAAAAGACUCCUUCUAAUAAAGGGGGUCCAUGACGGUACCGUAAGAAUAAGCACCGGCUAACUACGUGCCAGCAGCCGCGGUAAUACGUAGGGUGCAAGCGUUAAUCGGAAUUACUGGGCGUAAAGCGUGCGCAGGCGGUUAUAUAAGACAGAUGUGAAAUCCCCGGGCUCAACCUGGGAACUGCAUUUGUUACUGUAUAGCUAGAGUACGGUAGAGGGGGAUGGAAUUCCGCGUGUAGCAGUGAAAUGCGUAGAUAUGCGGAGGAACACCGAUGGCGAAGGCAAUCCCCUGGACCUGUACUGACGCUCAUGCACGAAAGCGUGGGGAGCAAACAGGAUUAGAUACCCCAGUAGUCC